AAGUCAUGUUGAGGACAAUUUCUUAGAAGGCCUUUGUAUCUCUCCCAAGCUUUGUAUAAGGAUUCACCAACUUUUUGUUGGAAGUUAGCAAUCUUCUUUUUAAGUUU